rfam:Triticum aestivum genome assembly, contig: Triticum_aestivum_CS42_TGACv1_scaffold_404233_5BL
UACUUACUCCCUCCGUCCGAAAAAGCUUGUCCCAAGCUUGUUCCUCAAAUGGAUGUAUCUAGCACUAACUACUCUUAGUGCUAGAUACAUCCAUUUGAGGGACAAGCUUUUUCGGACGGAGAGAGUACAUG